rnacentral:piRNA from 1 species
UCCUGUAUGUGAUCCAGAGGGUGUGUUA